GUGUUUCUCUCUAUCAAAGGUGUUACUGUGAAUAAAUCCACUGCGGUCAGCGUUGAACAGCUAAAAAAGCGAGCAGAGCGAUUUGGCGGGAACGUUUCUUCAGUUUCCAAGAAGGUUGAGGAAGAUGAAAAGCUGAAGAAGCGGAAAGAAAGAUUUGGGAUCCUCGCUGCGGUUACACCUGACGUUGAGG